GUCAAGACCAGGAGUGCAGAGAGUGGGAGAGAAGACCCCCUCCGCCCAUCCUGGGCGCCAGGUUGGUCCUAACCUCCACCCAGUGUCAACUUUUUGCUGCUCCCGUUAGAUGGCGCCCAAUACUUUCUAACCACUUGUGAAAAUGCUCCUGGCCCGGAACAAAAAGAACCGUGGGGUGUGAGUGUGAGUGUGUGUGCGCGUGUGAGUGCGAGUGCGCGCGCGGGGCCGGGCACAGGGCACGGGCGUCGCCUGGCACUACGCGUGGCCCCGUCGCGGGUCGGCUUGGCCCAGGGCAGGGGCGCGCUGGCGGGAGGAGCUGCGCGGCCGGCGGAGAACUUUCUUCGUUUUCCCUUCGCUCUCCCUCUUGGGCUCGCGCCUAGGCCCUGGCCACUCUCCCGGAGAGAAGCCGAGAGAGCCGGCCGCGGCCUCAAGCAGCCAGCGCUGGCUCCAAAUGACCGCGGGGCCACAGUGCGCGAGAGGAAAGGGGUCCGGAACUUGCGGGAUGGAGAGCUGGGACGCACAUGACAGCCCCUUUCUCCGCCCUGACUUACGGCCCCAGCGCUCACAGCCGCUGCUCUCUUUUUAAGAGAAUGGGGCAGGUGCAGGUUUGGUUGCUGCUGUUUUAGCCGCUCCAAGGAAAUUGUUUGGUGUAAGAUUGAUUUCCUAAGCGAAUGCGUGCACGUUUCCAGCAACACAGGGCAACCUUUCUCGCCCCCAAAGCCGGUGAAAUUAAACAGACUUCCUUAUGAAAAGCCCCUUGGGGACCCUAGGGCGUUAGAUGCGACAACUAAUUUUAAAAUAACUGUUUAACGGGUGGUUAGGGAGGGCGCUUUCUCUCCACUACCAAGUUCACCUCUUCUUCCACCCCCUCUAAAACAAGUGACUUGACGAUAGGUGAUCCCGUCCCCUAGUCCUCUCCUUAAUGCCAGUCUGGAAGCGCACUGUCUUGGAGAAGGGAUGCGUCUCCUCGCCCUCGAGAACCAGCGCGGAGACCUUCUUUUGUGCCUCCGCUUGGCUGUGAACUUUCCCGCGCGCCCUUCCCCCAUACCCGGUGUACUGCAAGAAGCUGGCUCCGGAGCUCAGAGCCCGAAGUGUGUGCUCUGGUCUUUGAUGAUGUUGAUAAAAUGUGGUUUCAAAUGUUGUCCCGAAGAGGCCGGUUUCCUGUCUGUGUGUGGAAUGGAAGUACCGCGCCGGGGCACCACGAGGCACCCUGAGAACUCAGAGGACCCAGAGGCUCCCCUCAAACAAAUUCCCUGCUGACCCUGGGUACCCCUUGAAAGAGGAGCAAGAGGCUGCCACAAGAGUCGGCUUAUAACUCCCAGCAAAGACUCCCAGCAAAUGAGUUCUGUUUGGGCUCUGCCUACCACUAAGCCUGGUUGUGGGGGAGGCAGGGCCCCUGAACAGGGCAAGGAUAAUCAGUUGUUCCCCUUUCUGGGGUCAGAGGCAAAGAAGCCUGAAGGGCUGGUGGUGGCGCUGGCUCUGGGUUUAUUGACUCUGUGAUCCUAUCCAGCUGUCCUGCGGGGAGUUCCAGAGCGCUCCCAAAGUGCAUGGGGAAACUGCAGAAGCAGGACUGGGGCACAGUACCAGAAGCUAUUUGUCUCUUAGAACCUGGCGCCCCCUCCACUUACCUUACAGGAGACCCACAUCACUCAGGUCUCAGGACACCUGGUGGGAGAGAUUGGUGAGAGUUGAAGGCAGAUUUCCUCUACUUACAACUUGUUUGAAAAUGGACAUAAAGAGGAGAACAGACACUCCAUCGCCCAUACAGGGCCUCCAUUGUGUCAGAAAACCUAUCCCCUCCUAGGGCACCCUUGACACUCCCCUAGGUGGGCCUACAUAUUAUUCAGGACCUGUCCCCUGUACCCAAAUAAAUAUAAAUGAGUUCAUUUAUUUAAAAGAAAUAUUACCAGGCUUAUAAGAGCCACGCUAGUGAAAGAAAAAAAAAAAGAAAAGAAAAGAGAAGAAUUUUUUUUUUUAAAAAAAGUAAAAAAGAAAAGAAACAUUACAGCUUUAAACUUUUCCCAGCCAGAAUCCACCUAAUUGCAUCAAGAUCUCUUGCCAGGAGCCAUAACCCCUUCCCCACCUGUUUUCCCUUCUUUUUUUUUGUGGCUUAAAAUUGCAUUUUAGGAGGGUUGAUAUAAUGUUGUUCAUGUCAGCAAGUCUCCCUGCCCCACCCUCACCACACCACCCUAUAUGGAAUUAUAGUUGGAAACCACACACACACAUAGAAAAUCUUUUAAGAUUUUUUUCUGCUAUUCUUCCUGACUAGAAGAGUUGACAAGACAUAGACACAUUAAGUUGCAUAAAAUACAGUAGCGUGAUCAGCCUAAAUGCAUCUCAUUUGCACUGUUUGUAGCCAGGGGUGGGGGCUUGUGUCACUCAUUGCCUCCCCCUCCUCCUCCCAGGGUAGAUCAGCCCGCUGGAAUUUCAGAGCAGGCCCCAAGGCAGCAGCCAUUUGGGAGGUGGAAGCCCCAGCCCACCCCAGGCCAGGGGUGGUGGGAGGGUGGUUAGGGAAUGUGUCUGCAGGUCUGGCCUGAGGGCUUGAACCAGCUUUGGCAGACCUGGGCUCUGGGAGGCUUGGCGGGUGGGUGCCCGCAGCUGGAAGCUGGAGGUCUGCAGCGAUGCUUCUGAGCUUCUCUUGAGUUGAGUUCAAGAAAGGGGACACCAAGAAGUAGGGGAACAGUCACUGACUAUAUUUUAUAUCCAAGCCUGCCCUUUCCCAGAGUUGUGUUCUCACUAUCCUCUUUGCCGGUGGACGGGAAACACUUCUGCCUAAUGGGUUUCUGCACCUGCUCCUAGCCCUGAACUCGGGCCCUGAGCUUCUCACUGCCGCCUGCUCUGCGCUGAGCCCCACUCCUGAGCCCGGGAGGUGCCGGAGCAGCGCCUCUCCCACCACUCCGAGAAGCCCAUGGGAGCUGCGCCGGAGCCUUCAAAACCCCGUAGGGGCGUGGGGGUGAAGUUGGGGAUCAUUCGGGUGAUUUUUUUCUUACUAUUUCCCAAUCCCUCUCCCGCGUUGAUGUCAACUCUCCCAGUCUCCGGGUGUUGGGGCGCCAAUCUUCUCCCUCCAAUUCCUACCCACCAGCUGGAGGUCGGGUCCCAGGGUUGCCCCAGGGUUCAAUGGCGGCGGGGGGGCGCCGGGUAGAGGGGCGGGAGGACCUGGAUCUUCGGGGACUAAAGGGGACCUCAGCAGGGUCGGAGUGCAUAGCCUUGGCCGUUGGGAGAUACUCCACUAGCCACUGUGAGUGCUCAACAGCGUGUCGUGGGGGCGUCCCUUCUGCAGCUCGGGUGACUCAGACGCCCCGCCAGCCCCGCCAGCUCCCCGCUUCUCGAACGCUCUUCUGCUUGCCCAGCGGGGAGGCUUCAGGGCCUGCCUCCUCAGGCCAGAUUGUAGCCCGCGACCUUCCCGGGCCAACCAAGGGCGAGGCAUAUUGCCCAACAAGGCCACCGCCUGACUGAGCCUCCAGGGGAACAGCCAUUGCCAAAGCCCCGCGGGCCCAGGCGCGGCCACCUACCAGUACCCGCGCAGGCCUGUGGGAGCUCACGGGCAGAGGCCGAGAGGCUGGACUGCCAGCCCCACACCGCUGACAGCCGGGCACAUCUGCGGAGCCCGGGGGAACAAUCAGCGGGCUCGGCGUCCCGGGAGCUGGGGACACGCCUGCAAGGAUUGGGGCGAUGCUGUCCUGGAAGAACAGGCUUUCUGAAUGUGACCUCGGGUUGCUGCAGCGGCGCCAUACUGCUACUGAUGAUCGAGGGUAGCUCGCCUGCCACCGGCAACCAGUCCCAGUAGCCUUGGGUACCACUGCCCCCACCAUAUCACCGUUGUAAAGGAUGGACUCCUGCUGAGCCAAGGUGCAGCUCUAGGCAGGAUCCCUGAAGGAUGCUCUGGCACACAGAGGGUGGAGGGCUUUCCGCCUGCACACAGUCAUUUGGAGAAAAUCAAGUGAGCGCACCUCUCCCCACAGAGGAUUCUGUGUGUUAUGUAACAGACUCACACUGGGAUUCCUCAAGUUACCAUUUUGCCCCAAAUCAGCCAGGACUUGGUUUUCUGGCGGGGGUGUCAGGAUGAUGCAAAUGGAGGUGGAAGCUUCAUUCCCUGGGGGCUUUUAUUCCCCUUCUUGAAGCCCCAGUUCAAGGCCCAGGAACAAAGGGGAAAGGUAACUGAUCUCUCUUUUGGUCUUCCUCUCCCCUCACUUCCAGCCCCUCAGUUACAGACCCUCCUCUUUGAUAAACAGAGGAAAGCCAGUGGGAUCAGGUACAUAUAUAAAUACUGCUGACCUCGGCCUCCCCUUCUCACCGAAAAGCGGAAGCCCAGCCCGUUUCAGGUGCAGGCUGCUCCCUGCUUUGAGUGUCCACCACUUCUACUCCCCCAGGCUGCAUGAGACUCAAGGCUACUCACUUAACAUGCCUCUCUUGUUAAAAAACAUUCAGGACAACUGUUAAAUAGUUCUUGGAAGAGUUUAAGACCUUCUUUCAGGAGCAAAACGUUUUUAAAGCCUUGCUUGGCAGAAAUCUUUAAGGCGUACAAAGUAGAAUCAGUAGGCUCGCCUGAGCGAUUUUGAAAUUUGAAAGAUUUCUCCCCAUGAAAUGUUAAUUUAAAAUAGUUUGUAGAUGUUAUUUUGUUGUACGAUGGCUUUUUCACUAUUGUCACCUAAAGAUUCUCAAGACCAAGCUACUAAGACAUUUCUUUUGAUUUGGUUAGUUUCUGGGUGAUACUAUACUUUCUGAUUAGACCUAUUUAAUUUAUUUUUUUAACUCUGCAGGACAGUUUUCAACCUUGAAAAUGUAAGUGAAACACAGACUCACCCUCCCUCUGAGACCCUGUUAGGUGCAGAAAGGAACAAAUCUAGCUAGCCUCACUCACACCUCGAAGUUUCCCUGUCUGAACCUGGGUACAGUGAGCAUGGUGGGUUUUGACACCUUUUAUUUUAUUGCUGGCUCAAGGAAAAUUCUUUGAAAUGAAUAUCUAUUCUAUUUCAGUGUGCAGUGUUCCAGCCAACUAAAUGGGCCUGCCUUAUGCCAAGAGGCAGUCCUGGAGGACAGAGCUAAUAUGUGAUCUCCCAGGAAGCUCAUCAGAACACCUCUUGUCCCUUUUCUUAAAAAAAAAAAAAAAAUUAAAAAGUUUUUGGUUCCCUCUCA